rnacentral:rRNA from 1 species
GACGAACGCUGGCGGCGUGCUUAACACAUGCAAGUCGAACGGAAAGGCCCUGCUUGCAGGGUACUCGAGUGGCGAACGGGUGAGUAACACGUGGGUGAUCUGCCCUGCACUUCGGGAUAAGCCUGGGAAACUGGGUCUAAUACCGGAUAGGAGCCAUUUUUAGUGUGAUGGUUGGAAAGUUUUUUCGGUGUAGGAUGAGCUCGCGGCCUAUCAGCUUGUUGGUGGGGUAAUGGCCUACCAAGGCGGCGACGGGCAGCCGGCCUGAGAGGGUGGACGGCCACAUUGGGACUGAGAUACGGCCCAGACUCCUACGGGAGGCAGCAGUGGGGAAUAUUGCACAAUGGGCGCAAGCCUGAUGCAGCGACGCCGCGUGGGGGAUGACGGCCUUCGGGUUGUAAACUCCUUUCGCUAGGGACGAAGCUUUUUGUGACGGUACCUAGAUAAGAAGCACCGGCUAACUACGU